rnacentral:rRNA from 1 species
AAUUGGGCGUAAGAGCUCGUAGGCGGUUUGUCGCGUCUGCCGUGAAAGUCCGAGGCUCAACCUCGGAUCUGCGGUGGGUACGGGCAGACUAGAGUGAUGUAGGGGAGACUGGAAUUCCUGGUGUAGCGGUGAAAUGCGCAGAUAUCAGGAGGAACACCGAUGGCGAAGGCAGGUCUCUGGGCAUUAACUGACGCUGAGGAGCGAAAGCAUGGGGAGCGAACAGGAUUAGAUACCCUGGUAGUCCAUGCCGUAAACGUUGGGCACUAGGUGUGGGGGACAUUCCACGUUUUCCGCGCCGUAGCUAACGCAUUAAGUGCCCCGCCUGGGGAGUACGGCCGCAAGGCUAAAACUCAAAGGAAUUGACGGGGGCCCGCACAAGCGGCGGAGCAUGCGGAUUAAUUCGAUGCAACGCGAAGAACCUUACCAAGGCUUGACAUGUGCCAGACCGCCGUGGAAACACGGUUUCCCCUUUGGGGCUGGUUCACAGGUGGUGCAUGGUUGUCGUCAGCUCGUGUCGUGAGAUGUUGGGUUAAGUCCCGCAACGAGCGCAACCCUCGUUCUAUGUUGCCAGCGGAUUAUGCCGGGGACUCAUAGGAGACUGCCGGGGUCAACUCGGAGGAAGGUGGGGACGACGUCAAAUCAUCAUGCCCCUUAUGUCUUGGGCUUCACGCAUGCUACAAUGGCCGGUACAAUGGGUUGCGAUACUGUGAGGUGGAGCUAAUCCCAAAAAGCCGGUCUCAGUUCGGAUUGGGGUCUGCAACUCGACCCCAUGAAGUCGGAGUCGCUAGUAAUCGCAGAUCAGCAACGCUGCGGUGAAUACGUUCCCGGGACCUUGUACACACCGCCCGUCAAGUCACGAAAGUUGGGUACACCCGAAGCCCGUAGCCUACCCCUUGUGGAGGAGCCGUCGAAAGGUGGGACCGGCGAUUGGGACUAAGUCGUACAAGGUAGCCAU